AUGGGAAUGGUUGUGGUAAUUUCUCUUCCUUUAAUAUUCUUCUGCUUUGUUCUUGGUUUUGGAUGUUACUUCUUUGGAAGAGCUAGAGGAAGACGAGAUGUGUUCAGCAAUCCUCAAGUUUAUGGUAUGCCGAUUCCACCGCCGGGUGCUGCUGCAAAUUCUACCUUCCCUGCACCACAUUCAAAACCAAACUUUGCUUCCAAUGUUUGA